GCAGAGUGGUUCAGUUCUUUUCUCUCCUGUCUGUCAAAAAGAUGCUAUUCCUGUGAUUAAAACCAUUACAGUCCUUCAAAGGUUUUACAUGACUUUCAGGCUGCAGCCUCAGUAGCAGCAGGUAACUGUUGUGGCCUCUCUCUUCUGAUUGGACUGAGACUGAAUAAUGCCCACAAAGCAUACUAGGAAUAUGGUACUAAUUUGAACACAUCAUUCCAUGUUUCCUGGAGUAAUCACGCAGCUUGCUUAGAUUUUGUAAACAUGACUGAACUGUGAUGAAGCGA